UACGAAGGGGGCUAGCGUUGUUCGGAAUUACUGGGCGUAAAGCGCACGUAGGCGGAUUGUUAAGUGAGGGGUGAAAUCCCAGGGCUCAACCCUGGAACUGCCUUUCAUACUGGCAAUCUCGAGUCCGGAAGAGGUGAGUGGAAUUCCGAGUGUAGAGGUGAAAUUCGUAGAUAUUCGGAGGAACACCAGUGGCGAAGGCGGCUCACUAGUCCGGUACUGACGCUGAGGUGCGAAAGCGUGGGGAGCAAACAGG
rnacentral:rRNA from 1 species